GAGAGGUGGAGUUGCUGGGUGCCAGCUCCGGAGACCUGGGCAAGGCCAGUAGUUCCAGGUAACACAGACACCAGCAGCAUCCAGGGCUGGGGUUCUGGGGGUCCGCCAGGGACUGGGGCUGCUUCGGCUCAAAGGCAGCCAGGCAGGGGCCGGGAAAAAGGAGCAAGUGGUGCCCUGGGUUACUACAGACUUUGCCCACAUGCCUGUAGGGGCAGGGACCCAGUGCACACCUCCCGGAUGUCCAGGAGCAGACACAGAGUUCAGUGGAUGGGCUUCUCCAACAACCUGAGCUGCUCAGGAAAUAAUAAACACAAGAAAUGGCGAGUCACUCCCAGAAAAAGGUAAAUAAAUACCAAGGAGAAGAGACGGAUCAGCCCUGGCUGUCACAUGAAAUAACCAGAAUUUGGAAAGAGUCAUAAAAUCAUGGGAUGUGUAAAAAUAGAACCUGGUAGAACUCCUAAAAUCGCAGGAGGGCCUCGGUCAUUGGAUCUCCAGGUCAAGGUAAGAAGGAAUAAGGACAAAGAAACAAAAUGCUUACAUUUUUGCCAUCACUUUUGCUGUGGGAUGCAAGUGUGUUUCGCAAGCAUUUUCCUGUAAUGUGGGCUUUGUUGGACACCACACAAACUUGGAGCCUGGGGGAGCCCUGAGCAGCUUUAGCAAGCUUGUCCUCCCAUAAAGGGUCAGAAAGAAAGUGUUUAUGGUUUUGCACAACUCCUCGGCGGUCAUCACUAUUCAAUUGUGCUGUGGUGGUGCGAUAGCACGUGCACAAGUGGUGUGACUCCGUUCCAAUAAGACUUCACAACAAACAGAGGAAGGCACCAAACGGAAGGGAAGGGCUCCAGGGAGGGGACGUGGCCGCCUGUCUGCAGAUAGGCCGGGUCAAGCCUGGGUGGACCUUCACAGCAGUGGUCACAGGAGUGACGUUGGCUGCUGCAGGUGGGAGAGGGCAGUGUGGCCAAGUCCAGCCCUUAGGCUUGUAAGGGACCACAGAGGGUCCUGGGAAGGACAACUGACAUGUUGGGAAAUUGUACCUGGGAACUGGAAAUCCAGUCUCUGUGAUUCUCUGGCAGUCUGGGCACCGUCACACAAGAGCACUGGUGAGCAGAUGUUCUUUACUGGGCACCGGCGCCCUUCAGGAGUGUCCCAGAGAAACCGCAGAAACCCAGGAGGAUGCCCACAACCAAAAGACGAUUCAACACUCGCCUUUACAGAGGGGGAAGUGAGUUCACACUGCCACUCUCUGCACCCCGUUUUCCUUAUGUGCCACAGAGAAUGAACCAAACUCACUCUGUCUACUCCCCGGCCUGAGGUUGGAAGUUAGAUCAAGAGGUUCCACCCCUGAGCCCACACUUGUCCUGCGAAGAUCUUGAUACCUCUCUCACGGCCAGUGCCUCUGCCUCCUGUGCAGACAUGCGGGCCCAGCCACAACACAGACUGACUCCACUCCUCCUAGGACACCAGACUGCACUGAGACGGUUGCUACCUCCUUCCUGCCUUCCUCUACUUGAGUCCCAGAGACCUUGGCUGCCCUCCCUGCUCUCCCAAUAGAGCUCCUUCCUCUCUGUCAAGCUUGGCUCCUGGUCUCCCCUCCACUGGCCUCUUAACCAAACAAACACUCAGCAGUAGCUCAGCCCUGCCCUGAGCCUGGCUGGAAAUGUGAGGGGAGAAGAAGCCAGUGCAUUCGGGGCCCUAUAGAGACAUCGAGGCUGACAACCAGAAAUUCCUGUUGAGGUGGGCACAGAAAUUUACACUUACGGUCAAGGAUAGGUCAGUCCAGGGUACCCUUACUGAGACGAGCCCUGUUGAAAGAAUCAGAUGUUGAAGGAAAUACAGAAUGUAGAAAGAUAAAAUAACUUCUGGACAAUAGUUUCACACAAAAUCAGUGUAUCUUUGUACUGACUUUUCAAAUUAUUUUCCCACCCAGGACAGCACAGAAGAAAGAGCAUGCAUUUUUGAGGCAGACGGACCUGAUUUAAAAUCUAGAUUUGGCCACCAACUUGCUGUGUAGCCUUUAGACAAGUUUCUUAAACCUCCACAAAUCUGCUUCCCCUGGCUCAGUAAAAUGAGAGUAUUAAUGGUAUUUGCUUCAUGCCUGUUUUGAGAUCUGCAAGUUCUCAUCCCUGAGAAGCAAGCACCAAGAGGGUUCUGGUGAACGCGUUGUCAUCACCCCUGCAGCCACCAGCUCUCAAGCCAGCCCUGGAUCUCCUUGUCCCGGGAACUGCUCCCCCUCUGAAUCUGAGCAGCGGCUUCCGAGGCUCUGACCCCUCUCUCUGCUGCCUGCCUGCUGGCCCUGGGGCCUCCAGCCGCGAUUCCUCAACCCUGCUGAGACCAGCAAGCCAUUGAUCCACACUGCCUUCUCACUCUCCAUCAACCAGCUCAUGUCUCAAGAUUCUUAUUAAUUUGAAUGAAAUUUCCAGUAUUCAACCAUUUUGAUCUACACAAUGGCUAUUUGAUAAGGCUCAAACCAAUCAUAAAAAUACAGCAAUUUGUCGUAGUGGCUCACGCCUGGAAUCCCAGCACUUUGGGAGGCCGAGGCAGGUGGAUCAUGAGGUCAGGAGAUCGAGACCAUCCUGGCUAACACGGUGAAACUCUGUCUCCGCUAAAAAUACAAAAAAUUAGCCGGGCAUGGUGGCGGGCGCCUGUAGUCCCAGCUACUCGGGAGGCUGAGGCAGGGGAAUGGUGUGAAUGUGGAAGGCAGAGCUUGCAGUGAGCCAAGAUCGCGCCAUUGCACUCCAGCCUGGGUGACAGAGUGAGACUCUGUCUCAAAAAAAAAAAAAAAAAAACAAAAACAGCAAUUUUUCCGAGUAAGUGCAUCCCAGACUCUUGGAUUCCCAGCUUGAGAGUCCCAGAAGGUGCACUUUGAAGGCAUGAAAGGUGCAGGCAUGAUGAAGUUGUCGUCUUAGCGCCUGCAGCUGCCGGGUCUGCACAGCAGGAAGAAGGCAGGCCAGCCCUUGCAGGUGGGGCCAAUCUCCUCCUAGACUGAUGAGAACUUAACAAAGGUUUUCUGUGUCUUGGCGACCCCAGACACAUCAACGUAGAGUAAAGAGAGGGCUGGACUAAAGGUUUGUGAGCCUGGGUUCCUAAUCCUAAUUCUGUCACAAUCCUAAUUAGCCCCAUGAUUCUAGAGGCCUCUAAACUGAUGUUGUCUCUGUUUUCCUUUUUUGGGACAUUGUGUUUUGCCAACCGCACACUGCCAGUCCAUGGCGCUCUCUCCACCACACCUUUCUGGGAACCUCCAUGCCCCAUCCCCCAGAGUGCCAGGUGUCCCCUCUGCUUUGCUUCUGUGAUUUGUGAAAACCGACUUCUUAGCACCCCUUCCCGAGAAGAAAAUGAACCUGCGCAGGAGGUGACGUCACCAUCUGGCCCAAGCUGCUGGAGCCAGCAGAUGGAAAAACGAAAAAUAGAACCAAACUCCAGGGAGGCAGUGCGGGGGAGAUGCUGACCCUCCUGGGGCCCAGGGCCUUCAAAUUGUUAAUCAGCAGGUUGGAGACAGCCUGGUUCCCAUCCUAGAUCUACCACUUACUCUCUGGGUGACCUUGAGCAAGUUAUCUAACCUCUCUAAGACUCAGCUCUUUGCCUAUAAAAUAUUAUCAUAACAAUUCGUUCUUCAAGAGAAAAAAAUGAGGAAAAAGUACACAGGAAGCAGUUGGCACGGUGGCCGUGUCUACCACAAGGGGUUGGCAUAUAUGGUGAUUGUGGUGGGUGUGCAAUGCCCAGUGGAUCUCACCACCAAAGUGGACUCCUCUGGUUAAAAUAAUUGAGUUACCAGAAGCUGUGCGUGAAGUGCAUAUAUGGAAAAUUCAGCCAUUCUCAAAGCUGUUUCACCUUCUCACAUGAGCAGAUGCUCCCUGCAUCGCCCCCCAAGCUCCUUCCUGAGCUCAUGCUGAUUUGUCCAUUCCAAUCAGUGACCCCUGAAUCCUCAGGUGCUCACAGCCUGCUUCACACCACUUAGCCCUGAAGGUGACCAUUUUCUCUUUCUGCCACAUGCUUUGGGGCAUAUGGGGAAGAAAAGGUUAUGAUCUUUCUAUGUAGGAGCUCAUCUAGGAAGAGAGUACAGGUAACACAAGAGGUGUUUGAUAUGUAUUCAUGUCAUUGAAAAGGAAGAUUCCUAUUAAUAGGAAAAGUUGUCCCCUGUUGCCUACCCCCCACAAAUAUUCAUUUAGGUUUUGAUGUGUAAAGAAGGGUGCACCAGACCCUGAAGGCUUUAGCAUUCCACCCUACAAAAUACUUGGGAACGGUUACUUAAGAUGUCUACAUAAAUUGAUUUCCUAACAUUGUUGGGGUCAUAGACCUCUCUGAGAAUCUAAUGAAAGCU